CAUUGAGUAGCUGGUCUCAUGGACUAGAUAAUUUACAAAAGUUUCUAGAUCACAUUAAUAGUUUGCAUCCUUCUAUCAAGUUUACUUUUGAAGGACAGAAGGAUGAUAAAACUAUACCUUUCUUAGAUGUUCUGUUAUCUAUACAAGAAGAUGGGUCGCUAGGACAUAAGGUUUAUAGGAAACCUACACACAGAGUCAGGUAUCUGCAUUAUAAUUCAUUUCAUCCUAGUAUUAAAAACUCAUCAACCGAGCGAAAACACAAUUUGUAAAGUAACAUCGACGAUGAAUUAGAACAUUUAAGAAAUGUUCUAAAAAUGAAUUGUUAUCCCGGCAUUUCAUAGAUAAUGCUAUGAAAACACCACAAAGUAUACAGUAGAAUAUUGGCUCUCCUCCGCAGAGGUUAUUUAUUCUAUUUAUAAUGUUCUUCGGCUCUCUUCGGAUAAUUCUCGGAGUUAAUCGCGAUUGGGUGCUG